UUAAUGCUGAGAGAGUGAAAAGUUUCAUCUGAGAGUUGUUGUGCCUUUUUGUUGUGCUAAAUUUGUUUAUUCAAAAGUAUAGAUUGUAAUAAAUUUAAAAGUUUCAAGCUAAUACUGUAAAAAGUUUGGGUUAAGGUUGUUGAAUUGAACAUGUAUAAAAAUUUAAGUUGUUUGUGUACAGUUAUUGGGAUGAUCCUGUGUAAAAGCUCAAGUUGUUUGUGUAAGGUUGUUGGGCUGACCCUCUACAAAAGCUCAAGUUGUUUAAGGUUGUUGGGUUGAUCAUGUGUAAAAGCUCAAGUUAGUUUUAAUAGAAAUCUAAAGAGGAAACCUUGAGAGUUGGAGUAGGUUGUGUAGUUUAAGGCUAAACCAGGAUAAUCUCUUAUGUGGUCUUUUUUUUACCUUAUCUCUUUAUAUUCCAAUUUUUUAUCUUUUACCAUGUUAUUUAUCUUUUCUGCUUCUUAUUCUCUGUUAAUUUUCUCAUAAUAUAAAUCAUGUUAAAUUAGUCGUUUUGUG
rnacentral:lncRNA from 1 species